CUUUUGCGUGAGGGAUGGCAGUGGAGCUCUCCCGAUUUUUCAUCGGGAAGCGGGAACGUACAGCCCGACCCGAA
rnacentral:sRNA from 1 species